rnacentral:rRNA from 1 species
UUUAUGGAGAGUUUGAUCCUGGCUCAGGAUGAACGCUGGCGGCGUGCCUAAUACAUGCAAGUCGAGCGAACGGACGAGAAGCUUGCUUCUCUGAUGUUAGCGGCGGACGGGUGAGUAACACGUGGAUAACCUACCUAUAAGACUGGGAUAACUUCGGGAAACCGGAGCUAAUACCGGAUAAUAUUUUGAACCGCAUGGUUCAAAAGUGAAAGACGGUCUUGCUGUCACUUAUAGAUGGAUCCGCGCUGCAUUAGCUAGUUGGUAAGGUAACGGCUUACCAAGGCAACGAUGCAUAGCCGACCUGAGAGGGUGAUCGGCCACACUGGAACUGAGACACGGUCCAGACUCCUACGGGAGGCAGCAGUAGGGAAUCUUCCGCAAUGGGCGAAAGCCUGACGGAGCAACGCCGCGUGAGUGAUGAAGGUCUUCGGAUCGUAAAACUCUGUUAUUAGGGAAGAACAUAUGUGUAAGUAACUGUGCACAUCUUGACGGUACCUAAUCAGAAAGCCACGGCUAACUACGUGCCAGCAGCCGCGGUAAUACGUAGGUGGCAAGCGUUAUCCGGAAUUAUUGGGCGUAAAGCGCGCGUAGGCGGUUUUUUAAGUCUGAUGUGAAAGCCCACGGCUCAACCGUGGAGGGUCAUUGGAAACUGGAAAACUUGAGUGCAGAAGAGGAAAGUGGAAUUCCAUGUGUAGCGGUGAAAUGCGCAGAGAUAUGGAGGAACACCAGUGGCGAAGGCGACUUUCUGGUCUGUAACUGACGCUGAUGUGCGAAAGCGUGGGGAUCAAACAGGAUUAGAUACCCUGGUAGUCCACGCCGUAAACGAUGAGUGCUAAGUGUUAGGGGGUUUCCGCCCCUUAGUGCUGCAGCUAACGCAUUAAGCACUCCGCCU